GACGAACGCUGGCGGCGUGCCUAAUACAUGCAAGUUGAGCGCUGAAGGUUGGUACUUGUACCGACUGGAUGAGCAGCGAACGGGUGAGUAACGCGUGGGGAAUCUGCCUUUGAGCGGGGGACAACAUUUGGAAACGAAUGCUAAUACCGCAUAAAAACUUUAAACACAAGUUUUAAGUUUGAAAGAUGCAAUUGCAUCACUCAAAGAUGAUCCCGCGUUGUAUUAGCUAGUUGGUGAGGUAAAGGCUCACCAAGGCGAUGAUACAUAGCCGAACUGAGAGGGGGAUGGGCAACAUUGGGACUGAGACACGGCCCAAACUCCUACGGGAGGCAGCAGUAGGGAAUCUUCGGCAAUGGACGAAAGUCUGACCGAGCAACGCCGCGUGAGUGAAGAAGGUUUUCGGAUCGUAAAACUCUGUUGGUAGAGAAGAACGUUGGUGAGAGUGGAAAGCUCAUCAAGUGACGGUAACUACCCAGAAAGGGACGGCUAACUACGUGCCAGCAGCCGCCGUAA
rnacentral:rRNA from 1 species